rnacentral:rRNA from 1 species
UCGGCUCAUCACAUCCUGGGGCUGAAGUAGGUCCCAAGGGUAUGGCUGUUCGCCAUUUAAAGUGGUACGCGAGCUGGGUUUAGAACGUCGUGAGACAGUUCGGUCCCUAUCUGCCGUGGGCGCUGGAGAACUGAGGGGGGCUGCUCCUAGUACGAGAGGACCGGAGUGGACGCAUCACUGGUGUUCGGGUUGUCAUGCCAAUGGCACUGCCCGGUAGCUAAAUGCGGAAGAGAUAAGUGCUGAAAGCAUCUAAGCACGAAACUUGCCCCGAGAUGAGUUCUCCCUGACCCUUUAAGGGUCCUGAAGGAACGUUGAAGACGACGACGUUGAUAGGCCGGGUGUGUAAGCGCAGCGAUGCGUUGAGCUAACCGGUACUAAUGAACCGUGAGGCUUAACCUUACAACGCCGAAGGUGUUU